rnacentral:lncRNA from 1 species
UUUUCAGACAAAUCCUAUUUGAUCAACAAAAAUACAAUCUAGGUCUUCUAAACAUUAUUUUACAAUAAAACCUCACCACAAACUAUUUAUAAUCGUACCUGAGAUCCCAAAAUAUGUGAAUAAGUCUUUGACCUCCAAAUUCCAAUUCUUUCUUCAAACUUCGUCUUCUAACUCUUCAAGACUCCAUUCAAACUUCACGAAAGUCGCCAACGAAAAAAAAAAUGUUAAC